GUUUCUGGGUUUUCCUCAGCUAACUCUCUCAUGAAUCUUCUCCAAACACCAUAUGCGUCCCAUGUUUCGAAAACCCGAAGGCCCUUUCGUUUCAACUUUUAAGCUCUCAUCUAAAGAACCACACUUGAAACUUUGGCCAUUUGUGGUGCAAUUGUAUGUCAAACCAUCAGUUCAACCAACUGCACUCACUCUCCAUGAAAGUUUAACAUUUAUUGGCAUGAUUUCAGCCAGACUAAUUUUUGGUAUUUAAUAU
rnacentral:misc_RNA from 1 species